UACAGGGGGCGCGAGCGUUGCUCGGAAUCACUGGGCGUAAAGCGCACGCAGGCGGACCGUUAAGUCGAAUGUGAAAGCCCGGGGCUCAACCCCGGAAGUGCAUUCGAAACUGGCGGUCUUGAGUACGGGAGAGGUGGGUGGAAUUCCUGGUGUAGAGGUGAAAUUCGUAGAUAUCGAGAGGAACACCUGCGGCGAAGGCGGGUUGCUGGGCUGACACUGACGCUGAGGCGCGAAAGCCAGGGGAGCGAACGGG
rnacentral:rRNA from 1 species